GCAAGGGCCCAGCAAAGAUACAUUUGCACCACAGUUGGAAGCCAAAAGGGAAGUGGCAGCCUUGUUCUUUCCCCGCUCUGAAGGUGGGAGGAGGAUCACCAGGGCAUCUGAGGCAUGCCGCUAGUCUGCUGGCUCAUGUUGUGGGCCUGCAGAAGCAGCCAGAUGAUCCACUCCUUCAGCUCUCAGACCCAGGCAGCACAUGUUUAGGUCCUUGAGCCAAAGGGGCCAGACUUGGAGACAACACAAGGCAGAAGAUGGCUCCAGUCUGUCCUCACUUCCCUGCUCUGCAUCUGCCUUGCCACCCUGACCCGCUGCCCUGCAGAAUUCAGACUCCAACACCAGAUAAAUCAGCUCAGCACAGAAGAGAUGAGCGUGUGUACUACUUUCCAAAAGAGGAAGUGGAUUCAGAAAACUACUUAUUUUGAUGGGAACACUCUGCUGGUAACGGAAGAACCUCAAGUGAUCAUGAGCACAGCUUCAAUAAACACACUGCACGUGCAGCCCCUCCCAGGUGCUGGCAGGCCACCGGGCACACGGACAGCCCACCCCAAGGGAAGAAUCAGGAGAGAAGUAAUGCAACCCCCUGGAAGCAUGCCAAUGUAUACAACCCCAAGUCAAAGGUCAAAUCGUCAUGCACUUGAAUCUCUCAAGUCGCCCACUUGGCUCUCUUCCAAGUGUACUUUACUUCGUUUUGUUCCUGCUGUAAACUUUUUAGUAAACUUCCACUCCUGCUCUCAAACUUGCCUCCGUCUCUCCCUCUGCCUUAUGCCCCUUGUUGAAUUAUUUCUUCUGAAGAGGCAAGAAUUGAGGUUGCUGCAUACUCGUAUGAUUUGCUGCUGCUAACAGGACUAAGAUCAAAGAGAAG
rnacentral:lncRNA from 10 species